rnacentral:lncRNA from 12 species
AUGCUGAGCCUGUCCUCUUCCUCAGUUCCUCAGUGAUGCUGCUGAUGGAAAGAGCUGCUGGGCCCCACAGACCCUCCAUCUGAUCCAGCUCUCACCUUCCUGCAUCCCAGCCUGCCUGUGUGCCUGAGCCCUGAGGAUCAGCUCUGCUCUGUUCCAGGAAACUGUCAGGCACAUUUAGGAACUGUAAAAGACUUGACAGAUGAAGAGAUGGAGGUGCUGUGGUUGCACCAGCCUUAACUGGUGAUGAGUGCAAUAGCUCAUGGAUUGAUACUGGGAUCUGCAGAACAGAGCUGAACUUCACCAUCAGCACCCUGAACAAUGGCAGAGUGUUUCCCCAGCAGAUCUCCAGCUAAGAGUAGGUUUGUGUGAG